GGUCCACAUACCUGUCUCCCAACUGCUGAGGGCACCUGAGUGCUGCCUUACCUGAGGGGUGACCCCCCUCCCAGAACCACGCUGCCCCUGCCAGCAGCAGCCUGACGAGCCGCCGCGCACGGUGACGGGGCACACCAGGCCCGGCACACCAGGACGGGCCAGCUCCGCCCUGCAGCGUGUGUUCCAGACUGCCCUUCACGCAGAAUAAGCUCAAGUCCCAGUACUUCUUUGGAGAGCUUUGUGCAGGGGGUCAUGGUGGCCUGGACCACACAGCGCAGCCUCCUGGCUAGAAUCCCGAGGUCAAGACAAGAAGCCUGAUUCUCCCAUGGGGCUUCCCAGCUGGUGCAGUGGUAAAGAAUCCACCGUCAGUGCAGGAGAUGCAGAGACGCAAGAGACACGGGUUCCAUCUCUGGGUCAGGAAGUCGCCUGGAGUCGGAAAUGGCAACCUACUCCAGCAUUUUUGCCUGGAAAAUUCCAAGAACAGAGGAGCCUUGUGGGCUGCAGUCUGUGGGGUCACAAAGAGCUGGUUGCACACACACACCUGCACAUAAAGCCAUGACCUGGUUAACUUCGCAUUAAAAUUAAGCAACGCAACAAAAUGAUGAUAGUUUCAACUUUGAGAAAACACUUUGAGUCGCAGCACCUGGAGUCACCAGUCUUCUUUGCAGCAGGACCUUUGGUCGCGGCAAGCAAGCUCUCCGUCACGGCCUGCAGGAUCUAGUUCCCCGACCAGGGAUGGAAGCUGCGUUGGCAGCAUGGAGUCUCAGCCACGGGACCACCAGGGAAGUCCCCAUUCGUCACGGCCUGCAGGAUCUAGUUCCCCGACCAGGGAUGGAAGCUGCGUUGGCAGCAUGGAGUCUCAGCCACGGGGCCACCAGGGAAGUCCCCACAGUCAUUUUCUAAGUACCCUCAUCUGUCAAGGCUCUGCCAACACGCCAGAGAUGUGAGG
ensembl:lncRNA